rnacentral:rRNA from 1 species
UAGGGAAUCUUCCGCAAUGGGCGAAAGCCUGACGGAGCAACGCCGCGUGAGUGAUGAAGGUCUUCGGAUCGUAAAACUCUGUUAUUAGGGAAGAACAAAUGUGUAAGUAACUAUGCACGUCUUGACGGUACCUAAUCAGAAAGCCACGGCUAACUACGUGCCAGCAGCCGCGGUAAUACGUAGGUGGCAAGCGUUAUCCGGAAUUAUUGGGCGUAAAGCGCGCGUAGGCGGUUUUUUAAGUCUGAUGUGAAAGCCCACGGCUCAACCGUGGAGGGUCGUUGGAAACUGGAAAACUUGAGUGCAGAAGAGGAAAGUGGAAUUCCAUGUGUAGCGGUGAAAUGCGCAGAGAUAUGGAGGAACACCAGUGGCGAAGGCGACUUUCUGGUCUGUAACUGACGCUGAUGUGCGAAAGCGUGGGGAUCAAACAGG